GACGAACGCUGGCGGCGUGCUUAACACAUGCAAGUCGAACGGAAAGGCCCUGCUUUUGUGGGGUGCUCAAGUGGCGAACGGGUGAGUAACACGUGAGUAACCUGCCCUUGACUUUGGGAUAACUUCAGGAAACUGGGGCUAAUACCGGAUAGGAGCUCCUGCUGCAUGGUGGGGGUUGGAAAGUUUCGGCGGUUGGGGAUGGACUCGCGGCUUAUCAGCUUGUUGGUGGGGUAGUGGCUUACCAAGGCUUUGACGGGUAGCCGGCCUGAGAGGGUGACCGGCCACAUUGGGACUGCGAUACGGCCCAGACUCCUACGGGAGGCAGCAGUGGGGAAUAUUGCACAAUGGGCGGAAGCCUGAUGCAGCAACGCCGCGUGCGGGAUGACGGCCUUCGGGUUGUAAACCGCUUUCGCCUGUGACGAAGCGUGAGUGACGGUAAUGGGUAAAGAAGCACCGGCUAACUACGUG
rnacentral:rRNA from 1 species